GUUAAGCGACUAAGCGUACACGGUGGAUGCCCUGGCAGUCAGAGGCGAUGAAGGACGUGCUAAUCUGCGAUAAGCGUCGGUAAGGUGAUAUGAACCGUUAUAACCGGCGAUUUCCGAAUGGGGAAACCCAGUGUGAUCCGUCACACUAUCAUUAACUGAAUCCAUAGGUUAAUGAGGCGAACCGGGGGAACUGAAACAUCUAAGUACCCCGAGGAAAAGAAAUCAACCGAGAUUCCCCCAGUAGCGGCGAGCGAACGGGGAGGAGCCCAGAGCCUGAAUCAGUAUGUGUGUUAGUGGAAGCGUCUGGAAAGGCGUGCGAUACAGGGUGACAGCCCCGUACACAAAAAUGCACAUGCUGUGAGCUCGAUGAGUAGGGCGGGACACGUGGUAUCCUGUCUGAAUAUGGGGGGACCAUCCUCCAAGGCUAAAUACUCCUGACUGACCGAUAGUGAACCAGUACCGUGAGGGAAAGGCGAAAAGAACCCCGGCGAGGGGAGUGAAAAAGAACCUGAAACCGUGUACGUACAAGCAGUGGGAGCCUCUUUAAUGGGGUGACUGCGUACCUUUUGUAUAAUGGGUCAGCGACUUAUAUUCUGUAGCAAGGUUAACCGAAUAGGGGAGCCGAAGGGAAACCGAGUCUUAACUGGGCGUUAAGUUGCAGGGUAUAGACCCGAAACCCGGUGAUCUAGCCAUGGGCAGGUUGAAGGUUGGGUAACACUAACUGGAGGACCGAACCGACUAAUGUUGAAAAAUUAGCGGAUGACUUGUGGCUGGGGGGGAAAGGCCAAUCAAACCGGGAGAUAGCUGGUUCUCCCCGAAAGCUAUUUAGGUAGCGCCUCGUGAAUUCAUCUCCGGGGGUAGAGCACUGUUUCGGCAAGGGGGUCAUCCCGACUUACCAACCCGAUGCAAACUGCGAAUACCGGAGAAUGUUAUCACGGGAGACACACGGCGGGUGCUAACGUCCGUCGUGAAGAGGGAAACAACCCAGACCGCCAGCUAAGGUCCCAAAGUCAUGGUUAAGUGGGAAACGAUGUGGGAAGGCCCAGACAGCCAGGAUGUUGGCUUAGAAGCAGCCAUCAUUUAAAGAAAGCGUAAUAGCUCACUGGUCGAGUCGGCCUGCGCGGAAGAUGUAACGGGGCUAAACCAUGCACCGAAGCUGCGGCAGCGACACUAUGUGUUGUUGGGUAGGGGAGCGUUCUGUAAGCCGUUGAAGGUGUGCUGUGAGGCAUGCUGGAGGUAUCAGAAGUGCGAAUGCUGACAUAAGUAACGAUAAAGCGGGUGAAAAGCCCGCUCGCCGGAAGACCAAGGGUUCCUGUCCAACGUUAAUCGGGGCAGGGUGAGUCGACCCCUAAGGCGAGGCCGAAAGGCGUAGUCGAUGGGAAACAGGUUAAUAUUCCUGUACUUGGUGUUACUGCGAAGGGGGGACGGAGAAGGCUAUGUUGGCCGGGCGACGGUUGUCCCGGUUUAAGCGUGUAGGCUGAUUUUCCAGGCAAAUCCGGAGAAUCAAGGCUGAGGCGUGAUGACGAGGCACUACGGUGCUGAAGCAACAAAUGCCCUGCUUCCAGGAAAAGCCUCUAAGCAUCAGGUAACAUCAAAUCGUACCCCAAACCGACACAGGUGGUCAGGUAGAGAAUACCAAGGCGCUUGAGAGAACUCGGGUGAAGGAACUAGGCAAAAUGGUGCCGUAACUUCGGGAGAAGGCACGCUGAUAUGUAGGUGAAGCGACUUGCUCGUGGAGCUGAAAUCAGUCGAAGAUACCAGCUGGCUGCAACUGUUUAUUAAAAACACAGCACUGUGCAAACACGAAAGUGGACGUAUACGGUGUGACGCCUGCCCGGUGCCGGAAGGUUAAUUGAUGGGGUCAGCCGCAAGGCGAAGCUCUUGAUCGAAGCCCCGGUAAACGGCGGCCGUAACUAUAACGGUCCUAAGGUAGCGAAAUUCCUUGUCGGGUAAGUUCCGACCUGCACGAAUGGCGUAAUGAUGGCCAGGCUGUCUCCACCCGAGACUCAGUGAAAUUGAACUCGCUGUGAAGAUGCAGUGUACCCGCGGCAAGACGGAAAGACCCCGUGAACCUUUACUAUAGCUUGACACUGAACAUUGAGCCUUGAUGUGUAGGAUAGGUGGGAGGCUUUGAAGUGUGGACGCCAGUCUGCAUGGAGCCGACCUUGAAAUACCACCCUUUAAUGUUUGAUGUUCUAACGUGGACCCGUGAUCCGGGUUGCGGACAGUGUCUGGUGGGUAGUUUGACUGGGGCGGUCUCCUCCUAAAGAGUAACGGAGGAGCACGAAGGUUGGCUAAUCCUGGUCGGACAUCAGGAGGUUAGUGCAAUGGCAUAAGCCAGCUUGACUGCGAGCGUGACGGCGCGAGCAGGUGCGAAAGCAGGUCAUAGUGAUCCGGUGGUUCUGAAUGGAAGGGCCAUCGCUCAACGGAUAAAAGGUACUCCGGGGAUAACAGGCUGAUACCGCCCAAGAGUUCAUAUCGACGGCGGUGUUUGGCACCUCGAUGUCGGCUCAUCACAUCCUGGGGCUGAAGUAGGUCCCAAGGGUAUGGCUGUUCGCCAUUUAAAGUGGUACGCGAGCUGGGUUUAGAACGUCGUGAGACAGUUCGGUCCCUAUCUGCCGUGGGCGCUGGAGAACUGAGGGGGGCUGCUCCUAGUACGAGAGGACCGGAGUGGACGCAUCACUGGUGUUCGGGUUGUCAUGCCAAUGGCACUGCCCGGUAGCUAAAUGCGGAAGAGAUAAGUGCUGAAAGCAUCUAAGCACGAAACUUGCCCCGAGAUGAGUUCUCCCUGAGACUUUAAGUCUCCUGAAGGAACGUUGAAGACGACGACGUUGAUAGGCCGGGUGUGUAAGCGCAGCGAUGCGUUGAGCUAACCGGUACUAAUGAACCGUGAGGCUUAACC
rnacentral:rRNA from 1 species